AGAGUUUGCUUUAACAAUCAUCAAGAAACAUUUAACAAUAUUUUUAAAUUAAAAAAAUAUAUGAUUUUCACACUAUAAAGUAAUUGUAUAAAAUUUUAUUUCUACAUCCAAACAAGAGAAAAUAUGUCAGAAAUUCUCAAGUUUGUUUUUGUUAUGAUUAUUUUAUUUUUCAUAAUCAUUAUUGUAACCGAUGGAGCUUAUGUAUGCCUUUCUGAUAAAGAAUGUCGUCGUUUUGCCUGCAAAGCUCCUAAAACUUCAAGAUGCAUAGAUUUAUUUUGCAAAUGUUUGUAACUAAUUGUAGCAAAUAAAAUAAAGAAUAAUACUAUGGAACUUCUAAGAGAUUAUAAUUGUAUUUGAAAUUAUAGUGUUGGUACUCUAUUGAUUUCUCUCUCACUUUUAUCAAUGUUCAUCGAGCCUUCAAUUUUAUCGACAUAAAAGUAUUUUAUUUUACUAUA